rnacentral:rRNA from 1 species
AAUGAACGUUGGCGGCGUGGAUUAGGCAUGCAAGUCGUACGGGUCGGUGUAGCAAUACAACGGCAAGUGGCGAAAGGGAGAGUAACACGUAGAUACCUACCCUCUGGUCGGGGAUACCGCGGCAUAACCGCAAGUAAUACCCGAUAAAAUCUCCGGAUCAAAGGUGUGAUUCCGCCGGAGGAGGGGUCUGCGUUCUAUCAGCUUGUUGGUGAGGUAAUGGCUCACCAAGGCUAAGACGGAUACGGGGUGUGAGAGCAUGCCCCCGCGCACUGGGACUGAGACACUGCCCAGACACCUACGGGUGGCUGCAGUCGAGAAUCUUCGGCAAUGGGCGCAAGCCUGACCGAGCGACGCCGCGUGCGGGAUGAAGGCCUUCGGGUUGUAAGCCGCUGUCGAGGGGAAUGAAGUGUAGGUGGGUACUCCCAUCUAUUUGACAGAUCCCUGGAGGAAGCAUGGGCUAAGUUCGUGCCAGCCGCCGCCGUAAAAC